CAAUAGCGUAUAUUUAAGUUGUUGCAGUUAAAAAGCUCGUAGUUGGAUUUUGGGUCGGGGGCACCGGUCCGCCGUUCCGGUGUGCACUGGUGGCCCCUUCCUUUCUGCCGGGGACGUGCGUCGCACUUAAUUGGGUGGCGUUCGGAGUCGGCGCUGUUACUUUGAAAAAAUUAGAGUGUUCAAAGCAAGCCAUCGCUCUGAAUACAUUAGCAUGGAAUAACAUGAUAGGACUCCGGUCUUAUUUUGUUGGUUUCCGAGACUGGAGUAAUGAUUAAGAGGGACAGUCGGGGGCAUCCGUAUUUCAUUGUCAGAGGUGAAAUUCUUGGAUUUAUGAAAGACGAACUUCUGCGAAAGCAUUUGCCAAGGAUGUUUNCAUUA
rnacentral:rRNA from 1 species